GCGGUGAUCGCAUAGCCUGGUAUUGCGCAGGAUUGCUAAUCCUGUGGGUUCUACCCUCGGGGGUUCAAAUCCCCCUCACCGCG
rnacentral:tRNA from 1 species